rnacentral:misc_RNA from 1 species
UUGAAUAAAACCUGGCCUAGUUGUCGCUGGCUCUUCGGAGCAUCGUGCACGCUUUGCCUUGCUUUAUCUUCAUCCACCUGUGCACUCUCUGUAGUCUCAAGGUUUGUCGAUGGGUUUCCAUCGGAGGAGGAUCUGCUCAUGCUGCUGUCUUCUUUGCCUUUGAGACUAUGUAUCUUUCCAUACACCACGUAGUCUAUCGCAGAAUGUAGUCAUUGGGCCUUUGCGCCUAUAUAAUCACUAUA